rnacentral:rRNA from 1 species
GGUCAAGCUAUACAAGGGCAGAUGGUGGAUACCUAGUCACACAGAG